rnacentral:rRNA from 1 species
UGAUUCCCCUAGUAACGGCGAGUGAAGAGGGAAAAGCUCAAAGUUGGAACCUGGCUGCCCUAGGCAGUCCGGAUUGUAAACUAAAGAGCGUGAUUCCAGGCAAGCCGGUUGAUCAAGUCCUUUGGAAUGAGGCGCCACUGAGGGUGAGAGCCCCGUAAGUCGACUGAGCAUUUGUCUUUUGUGUUUCGCGUUCAAAGAGUCAGGUUGUUUGGGAAUGCAGCCUAAAGCUGGUGGUAAAUCCCACCUAAAGCUAAAUACAGGCGAGAGACCGAUAGCGAACAAGUACCGUGAGGGAAAGAUGAAAAGAACUUUGAAAAGAGAGUUAAACAGUAUGUGAAAUUGCCAAGAGGGAAGCAUUUGGAGUUAGAUUGACUAGGAGUUAAUCAGCUUGGUCUUUGGACUGGGUGUACUUGACUUCUAUUGGUCUGCCAAUAGCAGUUAGUCCUAGUGGAAAAAACCAGAGGGAAGGUAGUCCUUCGGGAUGUUUAUAGACCUUUGGAAAAUACACUGGGAUUGACUGAGGAAUGCAGUAGAUGCCACUAAGGCUUCGUCUAGUGGGUGCUAGGCAAAGGUACUUGGUAUUUUCAGCUUGCUGAUGUGCUAGGUUACUCGAGUCUAGUCGCCUACUAGAACUGUAAUC